rnacentral:lncRNA from 1 species
UUGGAAAUAAUUAUUUUAUAGAGGAUAAAAUUGGAUGAUAAUAUGAGAAAUGACAAAAAUCCGCUAAUUUGAUGGGUUGAGAGAACCGGUCAAAAUUACACUAUAUUGAUUUUGGGUGAUUUUUAAACCAUCCAAAAUCGGUGUCCCAAAAAACAUACGAACACUAAUUUUUUUAACCUCUCGUAAAUGGUGCCAUCCAAAAUCAGUCAAAAUCGGUGAAAAUUGAACUCCCAAGCAAGCCCUUAGAGUCGAGAUAACCUUGUACCAUAGCAAUAGACCCAUUUAUGCUCUUCUUGAUCUUAUGUGUUGUAAUAAAUAAUUCCUUCAAAGAGAAUCAAACAAGAAAUUAAAUAAUUCAAAUGGAAAUAGCAAUAGUCGAAUCAAAUAGUAUAAUGCAAGAAGUGAACUUCCCUAUCAAGAACAACAUUUGCAACCAAAAGUGUAAUAACGAGGCUCAGAACGAUCCAAAGUCACAAGGCAACUCCACACACAAUUGGACCAUAUAACCUCACUCAAACCAUGAAGAAAUCUCCCUAUCAAGAACAACAUUUGCAAUCAAAAGUGUAAUAACGAGGCUCAGAACGAUCCAAAAGUCACAAGGCAACUCCACAACAAUUGGACCAUAUAACCUCACUCAAACCAUGAAGAAAUCUCCCAAAGAACACACCAAAAGAGUCAAGCUACA